rnacentral:rRNA from 1 species
UAGGGAAUCUUCCACAGUGGGCGAAAGCCUGAUGGAGCAACGCCGCGUGUGUGAUGAAGGGUUUCGGCUCGUAAAACACUGUUGUAAGAGAAGAAUGACAUUGAGAGUAACUGUUCAAUGUGUGACGGUAUCCUACCAGAAAGGAACGGCUAAAUACGUGCCAG